CCUACGGGGGGCUGCAGUGGGGAAUAUUGGACAAUGGGGGGAACCCUGAUCCAGCCAUGCCGCGUGUGUGAAGAAGGCCCUCGGGUUGUAAAGCACUUUCAGUGAGGAAGAACGCCUGGUGGUUAAUACCCAUCAGGAAAGACAUCACUCACAGAAGAAGCACCGGCUAACUCCGUGCCAGCAGCCGCGGUAAUACGGAGGGUGCGAGCGUUAAUCGGAAUUACUGGGCGUAAAGCGCGCGUAGGUGGCUUGAUAAGCCGGUUGUGAAAGCCCCGGGCUCAACCGGGGAACGGCAUCCGGAACUGUCAGGCUAGAGUGCAGGAGAGGAAGGUAGAAUUCCCAGUGUAGCGGUGAAAUGCGUAGAGAUCGGGAGGAAUACCAGUGGCGAAGGCGGCCUACUGGACUGACACUGACGCUGAGGUGCGAAAGCGUGGGUAGCAAACAGGAUUAGAUACCCGUGUAGUC
rnacentral:rRNA from 1 species